AAGCGGGGUAGCAACUCCGUGAAUCUGAAUAUGCCAUAUGGCAUUCUGCUUCCUUGUGCUUGUUUGAAGUUCAUUCAGUUUCUCACAAAUACACUUUUCAGAUUCAAAUAAAGAAGUCCCAAAUGAAGCAGAAUUCCGGAUGAACUGGAGAAAAAUGUCUGCCUCGUGUUCUGAAGGAUGCCUGCUGCAAAUAUGCUGCCCUUCAUCUUCCUGUAUCAAAUCUUGAGGCUGGUAGUUCAGGCAGAUCAGAUCAGCCAGGAUGUGGUCUCACAGGUAUUCGGAACAGGAGAGAGGCCAGCCUCCUCCAGGUCUGCACUGCCAGCUGCCUGCUGUGGCAGCCAAAAGAGAUGCAGCUUGGAGCUUAUCGAUCUCAGCUGAUGCCCGUAGCGUGAGGUCUGCAAACUUAUUUCCCACUUGCUAUUGAUGCUCCUGAAGGGCAGACUUUGGACUGCUUGUGCUUGUCGAUCCAGUGCUGCAUUGCAACAAGGUGGCCAGGGUGGUGGGCUGCUGGCUUGCAGGAACAGUGUGUGGGAUUUUGUCCAUCUUAAUGUGCUCCCUGGCAGUUGCAGGGAUAUACCUUAUGUAGCAAUGCCAGCAUGGGCCUGAAAAAUACAGCAGUCAACCAGCAUUAGUGUGCAAACAAGGAUGCAUUUAAAAUAAAUGUGUUAGUGCGAUGCUCUUGUUACUUUUU
rnacentral:lncRNA from 1 species